ensembl:lncRNA
UGGGCUUGAGAGCUGAGCAGAUGUCGUGCUGAUGUGAAGACGAGGAAAACAAACGGAUGGAACGAGGCUGUGACAGGAAGACUCUUCGACUCCUGCUGACAAAAUAACAGGGCCAAGGUGGUGUGUUUAGCUACAGUGUUAAUACUUUAAGUGCUUUCUUGUGUUUGUUGUAGGCUGCAGUUGGCUUUAUAAGAUUUUAUGGGACGCCUAUUGCCCGGAAUGAACAGCAGCCAAGCAGAAAGGCGGGAAUGCAUGCAGAGCUGAGGCUUGUAAGUUAUUCAUUCAGGUUGAUUUUGGAUCAGUGUCUCAGACAGGAUGUGCAUUUAUAUUAAGCAACAGCAUAAAGAGACGCAUUUGGAGGUUCUUCAGUGAAUAAAAUAUGGAUUCGACUUAAAACUAUGCUUCCUUAUUUUUAGCUUAAAAACCAAAGAAGUGUAGCUGUAGUUGAAUAAUUUAUUAAUUAUUAUUUACAGAUAUUGCAGCCUUUGUCUGAUCAUAAAAAUUAUUUUGAUUAAUAAUCAUAUUCUGUUAAUCAAAAGAUGCACAAUUGUUCUAAAUAAUGUCCCAUCAAUUCUAUCUGUUCACAUAUUUUUUUUAAAGAGUCAUCAAUAAAUUACAGUUUCCUCGUGAUGGCUCGUCCAGAUGCUCUCUGCAUUGUUUUAAUGUUCAUAUUUCAAGGCGCGGCACAAAGAUACCGCAGUUGCCCAGUUAUGAAUCAGAAUUCUGAAUUCCUCUGAAAAACUUGAUGUGGAGUUGGCAGAAAAGAGGGACAGAAUCCAGUGAGAAGUAAAAAUGUAUGAGAACUUUCAAAAUAUUGAUGGACAAACUUUUUAUGGGAUCAAGGAAAUCAGAAAAUAAUAGUUGCCACAUUCAGAGGCGGAUAUUCCUUAGUAAGCAAAAGUUGAGUCUGUUUUUAGACCAUAUAUUAGCUUUAAAGUGAGAAGAUGGGAAAUUUCCUCCAAUUUUCAAUAAUUCAUGUUUUAGCUAAUACCAAAUUGGUAAUCGUCAUUUCUGGUUCCGUAAAAUAAAGAUGGGGCAAGAUCACAACCCACAAUCUGUUUUGCUCGAUACACUACCAGCAUAACACCCCACAUUACGGGCUUUUAGUGUGUCAUAUUCUUCAAAUUAACGACAGCACCUGGGUGUCCCGGCAAAGUGCGUCGCUUCAGGCUGCAGAGUAGAGAAGGUAAGUAACUUUGAUUAAAAUAUGUACCUGAAGGCAGGAGCAUGGCGUAUGGGAUUGACAAUAAUACUCCUCUUCAUCACAAUGAAAGAAAAUGUCCCCCAAUGCCACCGUGUGCCUCACUAAUAGGUUUUUAAUGGUUACAGGGAGACAAUGGCGGUCUAAGACAUGGAGAGCAAUAACCCUCAAGUAGCACUAGUUUAUAGGUUUGUUUUGGUCUUUGCAUGUCAUUUUCUUGGAGAAUAUGAGAGUCACCCUUAACAUUAACCGCUGCAAAAAAACUAGACCAGCUCUAGUCUUCGUGUACGGUGGUAGUUAUGGAGGUACUUGUUCUCUACUUGGACCCGAGGUUUCAUUUUUAAAAUGCAUGAUUUGAUGCCUUCGGGCAGCUAUUCCCUCCGCCGUCCGCUUUCAUCCGCUCCUCUCUGGUGCCAGGUUGGAAAGUGACGGCUCCAAAGCCCGCCGCUGCUCACAGCGUGUAUUGUAGGAACUCAGCAGACAUGCAGAUAUCACCUGCAUGCAUUUGCAAACACGCGCUUUUUCAUCCCCUGCCGACGUAAAGUCAGAAGCAGGGUCGGUAACGGCCGGAUUCGCGGGUCCAAACAUCAAGGAAGAAAGUGUGCAGAUUUUGCAUUAGAGUUUCUUUCUACCUUUUUCACCAGUAAAGAAAUAUCAAAGCACCCACGGUUAAUCUCAACACACCCUCACAACCGGUUAAAGCCACGAAACACACACAAGAAGAACAUGGUAUUGAUCAUCUCCGGGAGAGAACGUCCACGGCGAAAAGAAACAAGGUUUGAGAAUGAACUCGGAAACAUCUCAGGAUAAAAAAGGAGCCAACCCCUCCCGUCCCUGGUGCUUCAUCAAUUAUGCAGGCAGCUGAUGGCGUUCUCGGUACGGCACGCGGUGAAGCAGUAAGAGCAGCAGGAGACAGCGCUCCCAUUAUCUGAAGGCACGGAGGUUAACAGCAGCAAAAACAACAGCGCGAGCCGUUAUUAAAUCAACACACACACAUGGUGUUCGUUAAUCACCACCACGCCGUAUCAAUGGUUUAUGAAUAAACCAUCCCAUUCUAUACUUUGUUUUGAAAAAUGUACACUUCACCCAUGAAAGCUGAUGUUCUUCGUAACUCUGCGCUGUGUAAUGAUAGUAAUUCUCCCGUGUGCAUGAUUGGCUAAUUGUCGUGCAUCGUUUGGUCAUUUGAAAGGGACUAAAAUGAGAGGAUAUAAAACAUUCAGCAUGUGGUGGUAUAAACUCAGGCGCUUGUGAAUUAACCAACCUUUUUCCUUUUUGAUCAAACUGCCCAGCAAAGAGGUACUCAAAUUGUUUGCCAACCAGCGGCGAUUUUAAUGUGAUGUUUACAGAAAUGCAUCAAUAAUCAGUUUAAUCUAAUGCUGAUCCCAGUGGACACAUCCGCUGCAGGGGAAAUGGUCAGGCUGACUUUAAUUCUACCACUUACAACCUAUUUAAAACGCCUACAUUGGUCCAUGAUUCACUUUUUUUUUUUUUUAUAUUCUAAGGACAUAACUCGGUGACGUCAGAGUCUUUCAGCCUCUACGUGAUAAUUAUACCCGGGUACAUCCCCUGAUUGGACUGUUCUCGUCUUUUUUUAACUUCGAAUCCUAAUAGAAAUCAGACUUCCUCCGUCAAAAGUCUACCAGGGGCGAUGUCGGGCUCCAACAAGAAAUCAAACAAUUCACCAGGCAUACCAAUGCGGUCGUGCUAUAUAUGUAUUUUUUUUUAGUUCCGUGAGUUUUAUGCCGUGGAAAAUCCCCGCUGCGCGAGCGCUGCAGCACUUCCCUGUUAGGUGGCACAGUCUGUCGCCUGUGUGAACCUCCUGAUCAAAGCUCCAGCAGAAUAAGGCUCAACACAGCGGGGCCAGAUCCCCUCUGCACCGCUGUAACAAGACUCGAACACCGGCGGCAAUAACUUUGCAGUCAUGGCGAUUCUCCUGCAAGCAACCAGAUUGUCAUACGGCAUGAAAAUAGACUGAGGGACGCGUUUGUGGAGACGCAAACAUGUGAACCAAAUGUCGUUAAUCUUCAAUAACUUCACAUAAGCUCUCAUAAAAGCUUGUUGGCAGCGUGACUUGCUCGAACUCCGUACUCUUUACUCGCCUGAUUCCAUUGUAAAUCCUUGAUUGUAGACCCUCUGAUGGGGCGUAAUCACGUCUCGUGCAUGCCUGUUUAGGGAGUCCCGACGCUUUUUUUUUGUUGUUAUUGGAUUCACUUUGAGCCAGCAGGUUGAGUUUAAACACAACUAAAGACAAUAGGACGGGAAAACUCAUUAAGGGGAAGGCUCUAAAUAGGCCUGAUGAAUGAGAACCGCGUUGUAUAUCACGGGGGACGACGCGCCAGCUGUGGCCCGACAGCUUUGUGAAUUCCACGAGGCUAAUGCAAUCAAAGCUGUCGAGAGUCACGUCGGCGGGUUGAAACCAGACAAGCUGCCUGUUCUAUUGGAACAGCCCGAGAGUGUUGAGGCUGCUGCUCUUAUUAAGGCAAUGAAGGCAAGGGAGCAUGGCUUUUUCUUUCUCUUAGAAGAGUGUUUCAAUAUUUCAUCACAGUUCUUUUUUUGAAAGCAAGAAGAUACCAGAUAUUUCUCUUUACGUUUUUUGACCAUGAGAAAAAUGUAUAAUCCUGCGAGCUAUUGUUCUGAGAAAGCCGCAGAAGUGAUUGGGCCGUCUUAAGUCUCGUCUUUUCAGAAAGCUUUUAACCCCGGUGAUUAGCCUCUGUCGGCUCCUUCAAGUCUCUUUGUGACACCUCUUUGGGCUUUUUAUCGUCCGUUUGUUUCUUUUCUUUUUGGAGGCUGGGAGCAGAAAAAAAGGAAAAAAUCAUCAUUAGCUCCGCGCCUUAUCUACUCUUUAUUUUACCCUUGUUGAUGAGCCUUGUCGCUGGGAUUUAGCUGAUAAUGAUUGGUGCGGCGGUGUAAGCUUAAUGGCUUCUCUUUAUCUGAAAAGGCUUUGAUUCCUCAUUGUUGUUGCUUAGCAGACAAUUAAGGGGCGAAGGCCUUAUUGGGGAUGGAUUUCUAUGAAUGUUUUCAUAAGUGCCCUGCUGAGCUGAAGCGCUGAUUGAAAAUAAGACAUUUGGUUAAUGAAACCCUGUCAAACCGUUUCAAUGAGAACUAAGAACCCUUUGCCGAAAGAUACAGAAUUAAUUCAGCUUUGAUUGUAGGCUAGAAAAAGGUGCGACGGAGUUCAGUGUGAAAACGUCCACAGUCACAGAGGACGAUGUAAAGAGAAUCAGAACUGUUUAUCACAGGUUUGCGUAUUUGGCAAAUAUGUUGUACAAAAGGAUUUCUUGCAAUAAAUACAGAUAUAUAUGUAAUGUAAAAUCUGAUAUCCGGCAUAAAGUGUUAUUUAUUAAACAAUUGUGAGCAUGUUUUACUCUCUAAAUAGUAACUUAACGGUACACAUUUUAUUAUUGGUUGCGGGUAGUAGCAGCAGGUGUACAAUUUAGAUAAUGUUUAUUUAAUUUGCACGUGAUUUUGAGUAAAUGACCACAUUUAGUGUUGCAAAUAGCUUGUGUGGGCCUUAAUUGCUGAACUAAUUCUAGUUCUAAUUAGGAAGUGUGGGCUUAUUUGUCACUGUGUACUUGACUGGAGCUUGUCAUGUCCUGACGGAUGCUAAUUGAUGUUUAUACCCUUGAUCUGUUUGUACCGCAGCACUUGCGUCUAUAAACAGUGCAGGUUCUGUUCCAUCUGUCUUCAUUGCAGUUCACAGUGCGGCACAUUCUGAUUUAAUCAAUUCAGUGGAUGUAAAAUUAAAUCUAAGCUAUAGAUAAGCUUUUAGCGCCUUUGUAGUCGCGGUGAGAUUCUUCUUUCCACUCCAUGCUAACGUUUUUGGUGAAGUAAGAUUUCCGUGCUGAUGGAGCAGGACGGGGCGGCAGCAUUAUGGCCGUUGAUUGUACUAUUGAUCAAAACCCACAAACAAUCCCUUCUCAUGACCAGUUGACCUUCAUCAUGCUGAAACAAGACGUGUAUUUGUAGUUAAGGGAAUUGGAUUAAUUCACAAUAUUUCUGUCUUUGUGAGUUCCAGUUUUUUUUUUGUUGCCGGCAGCUGUAGAACUGCAAGUUUUUUCUGUCCAAUACCGUUAUCUACAGCAAAUGAUUAUGACAUUUACUUUACCUCAAAAUGUGGCCGUCCUUCAUUAGAGCAGCCAGGCAACCAAGUGACAGGCGGGUGUGCAGCUCGGAGAAUGAACCCCAGUGUGGUUAACCGAUCCGCUGUGGACAAAGAUUCAGUUCUGUGAUGCUGACUGACUCUUCCCUUCUUACUAAUUCCACCACUACUGGAGCAGUAGCACAGAAUUGUUGUGUUUUAUUUAAGCCACUGCACCAAGCACCUUUACUUAAGUGUGAGGUUGUCAAGAGAAUAUUAGAGAUGCCAUGGUUGACCUUCGUAUUACCACUCAGCCAUCCGGCGCUUCCUGGAGUAGCAUCCUCAUUUUCUUCAGGCGGUCUCGACAGUGUUCUUUGCCCACAGAAAAUCUCUAUAAUUUUGCACAAAUUGUACAGUUUUUGUUUUGCAUGCGUUUAUAGAGAGAUUGUUUUUGCAGCUCCAUCUGAACUGGACAGUUGUGUAGUUCGCCUGCUUGCGUUGUCUCACGUGGGUUUGUCACACCAUGUCACAUGAUUUUGCAAGUGCACUCGGGCCCGGGUUGAUGAACCGUGUUAAGAGUAAUCAAGCGAAACUGGACUUCGGGGUCAAGACAAGUCUCACCUGGGCCAGUGAUACCAGAAUGGAGGAGCACCGUCUGCCUCCCAAUACACCGUGUGGGUAAAGAAGGAAGUACAGUAUGACAGAUCAUAUGUAGUAGUUUUGGUACACCCGUGCUGAGGAGCGGAUAGCCCUGCCACUGCGUCUGAGUCGGGUGUCUGCAGAAACUCAAUUUCUCAGUUGAUGAUCUGACCUCUGCGUCGUCUUGGCUAAUUAAAAAAGCAGCGGCGGAAGCCUGCGAGGACUUGGCUUUCAUUAUUCGGUUUGACAGCUCUGGAUUAAAACACAUUUCAAAAAGGUUUGACCCCACCCAUCCCCUCUCCUCUCUCCUCUCUCCGCCUGCCUCUGAGUAAGGGCAUGGCAAUUUACCAGAACACCCCGAACGAUUUAUCUCUAAUAAUGUUGAACACACAGAGCUGUCAUUGUUCAAAACACUCACUUGCUGCAACAGUGUAAUUAUGGCCUCUCAGCCGAGGCAGAAACAAGUACAUAACGUCACAACCGUGUCCUACCAUAAGUUAGGUAGGUGUUCGGUUACUCUCGCAGCGGGUUAAAGCGGGUUACUUCUUCUACCUGGCUUGUGUUUUUUCUGCGGCCUCGGCGCCGCGCUGCGUUUCCCGCUCUCUGCUCGCAAUCAGUCUCGUUAGUCCUUCCCCCGUCCCGGCCUUCCCCACUCAACUCGCUCGUCUCCCAUUCGCAUGUGCCCUUUCUUUUUUGGUAUGUUCUCCCCCCCCCCCCUCCCCUACCACUUUUUCGUGCCCCCCCCUUUUUUGCGUUAAGGAUGCAAGCGCUCUGAGUGCUUGUGUCAAGAAAGCUGGCGCUUCGUUGCUUCAAUCCUCUGAGCCAUGCAAAUAAUUGUGUUCCUGACUGAUGCCGCAUGCAUUUUUCAUUCAGGGAGCUUCACCGUGUGAGCAAUGGGGCCCAAAAAAAAAAAAAAGUUCCUCUCUCGCUGCCGCACUGUACGUCGCCCCUCCCCACACCCACGGCCUUCACCUCAUCCCUCCCCGCGAACGGGUUCCAGCUUCUAUCAUUGAAAUCGAUGGAAUUGAUUCUCUAGGGGUUAAUGGAUUUUGCCUCCAAGGUGAGGGAGAUGCACUUUAAUCACGGCAGAUCUUAAAUAUUUUAUCAGGGAGAGCCAAAGAUUGGGUGCUGGCAGCGCGGAGGAGGGAGGGACGGGGGAGCCGGGGAUCACAGUGCGUCGCAGCACUCCGGUCCAACAAUGGGCCACUUGUUGCUCACGUCAGAGGAAAAAGCAGCAAAAUGGCUUGAGGAGAGGAUAGAAGGACAACGGUACAGGUCAGUGACCAGGUACGGAGAAGGUACGCACGUCAGCGCUCAGGUCGCUGUAAAUAUAAAUAUUUAGAAAUCUUCUGCAAAAAGCCUUAAAAAGCUUUCGGAGAUAUUAUUUGAAAUCAUUCACAUCCUGCUCCGGUAACUACAAAGCAUGUACAUGUCUAGAAUAGAAAAGAGAAUUAUUUGGAUUUAAUGAUAUAAAAUAAGCCCUGCCAUAAUGUUCUUGAGUUAAUUAUACCACUUAGCUCAUCGAAAUGAGAAUAAUUAUGUUAGGUUUACAAUCCUCUAGCAGCAAUUCUGACUAGAGCGUAAAUAUGAGCCAAAACCAGUUUAGACUUUAACAUACGUCCUAACAUAACCUUUUUAUUCCCGAAUAACUUGAUUCACCUGUCGUCUGCAGCCACUUUUAAUUGCUUCUCUGGGCAGAAGUUGUUUACAGAUUUGUUUUUUAGCAACACGGCAACAGUUUUGGAUCACAGGAGUUACUGCGUGUCAUUAAAUCUGAAUAUGACGCAUCGUUAUGAAAAGCAAUUGUAUCUUAAUUGACAGUAAUUCGCUAGCACGAUCAUAAUUACUUCACUUUCUUCUUCAGCAGACGAUUUGACGCUCCACUGCGCGCACACAGCAACAUCAGAGACACACGUUAAAUUAACAAAUGUUCUGAUCGCACAGAGGAAAUGAAACACCAGGCCAUGUUCAAAAUGCAUUACUCACCGGCUCAAAUUAUUCGGGGGUUUAAAAAAAGAUGCUCGUUGUGAAGAAUUAAGAUGCAACCAGAAAAUGCAUAUUAACGCUCUUGCCUUUUGCUGCCAAAGAGCUCAUAUUUAAGUUCCCUAAUGGCACAAUAUAAUUAUAUUGCAGGAGCAACAACGUUGCCUACUACCAACAUUUCACAAGAGACCCCACACUUAUGCAGCAUAGAUGUAAUUUAUUAAUUACAUUUGCUGUUCUGUAGUAAUAAUGCUGUUUCCUCUUUCACAAAAACACAAAUCAUUUUAACCUGGGUUAAAUUAAAGAAAACAAAUAGCACUCCCGCCUUGGACAGGUACCCUCAAGGCCUAAUUUACUCUGCUGCAGCAUCCGGAGCUCUGCAUUACCCUUCGACUUGAUUAAGAGUAUUGUGAGGCCACAUAGAUGCAGUUUAAAAUGUGCGAAGAUGUAGGCUGCACUGAGCCUGUUGCCCCAGUAGGAGAAGGCUGAGCCAAAAGCGAGGACACACAUCAGUGAGAGCGAGUUAAAGCUCAUCGCUGAUUACUGCUGGUGGCAAUUCAUUUGAUUGUGGUAAAUAGCAUUAAAAGUUUAAUGGGCAAUAAAGCAAUGGUUAUAUGACAACCAUAGGGAGUCAACCAAACUCAUUAGUGCUCAGUCUUUGAAUUUUUAUGUAAAGAAAAUCCCCUUUUGCGUUUUUAUUCUGUGCAGACUCUUAAGCAGCUGCCUUCUAAGAAAGCUGUGGCGAAUGAAAAGACAACUUUACUUUGAAUCCGGCCCAUGCCAUGCAGUGGGGCCCACCUUCUUAAAAGGCAGUCGCUUAUAUGUUUGCACUGUGGUUCCAAAUUCUCUUUGACAUCUAUUUGUGAAGAGUAAUGGCUGAGUGCUAGCUCGGGUAUUUAUACUCCCACGGAGUCACAGCAGCCCAGACCUUCUUAUUUUCUCAUCUCUCCUUCCUGCAGGAAACGCCAGAAGGUCAUGCAUGCUUGUAAGGACAGUUUUUAUAUGGAAAGCCUGGAGAUGACCAAUAAGACAUGAGCUUCUAGGGUCACUUUAGAAUCUGGACAUGAUUGUAAUAUACCAGCUUGGUAAUUGGUAAUUGGCAUUUACCAGCCUGCUGGGUGAAGCUUCUCCAUCUAAUGAAUUGGGUCAAUUGGAGAAUUAAUGUCACAUUUAUCCUGAAUUGAUCUCUAUCUACAAUAUUAUUCAGAUAAUCUGCAAAACUAUAAUUCAAAUUCUUAAAACCACACAUUUUGAUUCAAUUAAGUUAAGGAAAAACAUUUUUGUUGUAAAUAUUCAUCAAACAUUAGAGCAGUGGUACACAAACCUGACAGAGACCUGCAACCACCUAAAUGCACCUUUCAGGUUUAAAUCAGGAUGAUAAUUAGCACUACCUGGCUUUCCGUUAUCUCCCGCGGUCGACCGUGCAUGUGUGUUGACUCAACGUGAUCGAUCUCCCGGCACUGCUUUGGUGAUCGACCUACUUCGGUCCUAAAACAACAAAGUUAGUGAUCGACAAAAGAAAUCGCUCACUAAAUCAUAAAUGACGCACCAUUUUACCAUAACAUUUUAUUAUUCUAUGUGUUUACGUAACCAUUUACACCAUUUAAAACAACCAACCAUUUGUUUCUAAAGUAGUUUUAAGUGACAAAUUCAACAACUGAUGAUCAUUAAUUAAAGAUUGCUGCAGUGUUUCUACAUUUGGAAUUGCUGUGGCGAGUAUUUUUGUCUAUUAUUUACUUUUUUUGUAUCUUCAAUUUCCAUAUGAUUCCUCACUGAAACCGUUUUAUAAAAUAGUUUGUCAUGAAUAUUAAACUGAAUGAUGUUAGCAAUAGAGACCUGUACAAUAUUUUUUCAAUUAGAGUUUAAUUACAGACUUAAUGUUGCAUUUUUUAUUGUGUUAUUUACUUUAAUAAGUACGCCAUUUUUCAUGAGGCUGUCCUAUUCACCAAGGACAUAAUUGGAUGCAGGUUUGGUGAAUCAGAUGUUAAUGAAUAUGCGCUGCAGCGUAAACGCAUAUCAGGGUCUUUGAGGUUAAUUUUGAUUGGUUUUGAUUGGAGUUGUAUGAUUACAUGUCAAAAGCAGCAACUAGCAAUGCUGCUGGUUGUUUCCAUUGUAGUGAGUCCCAGUAAUCCACAUGCGGUCAGUUGUGUUGACAAAUUGUUGCUAAACCUGUGUUUGAUGUUGUGAGAAUUAUGAUUGUAUUCAUUCGUUGGAAAGAAAAUAAUGAUGCAUUUCCAUGAAUAUUCCCUGAUUUGAAAACUAUUUACAAAACCCUUCACAAAUCCAACCUGCUGUAAUAAGAACAUGGACUGAGUCAAGAACUAUGUGACUCUUUCUAUGACGAACAUGUAACUUCCACCAUUGUGGAAAACGUCCUUCAGAAUGCCACACUUUGAUUCACAUGCAGUCUGACUGUUGACGUAUUGCGUGGUUGGUUUAACAGUAGCAUCAUCUGAGCAGGGAGGAGUGUGUGGACGGGCGACCGGGUGCAGCUGGUGCUCCAAGAGCAGUUCAGCUGUUUGCUGUGCGAUUGUCUUGUGCUAUCUAAUUUGCAGUGUCACACACACACACACACACACACACACACACAAUACACUUCUUAUGUGGUGCCUACAGGGUUUCCAAAGGAGAAAUCCAUGGGGAGCUUAUUUGUCAGAGACAGAGGACGCGGACCUAGCAACAUCACUGAUUAGGGACAAAUGAAUAAGUGACUUCUUGUUCUGUUUUUAGGCACAUGGAUUAUUUACUGAAAAUGUUUCUCAAUUUUGGGUCACAGGGUGAUCCUUGGGCUCAUACUUCUGGUCUUGGUUGUUUGCAUACUGGUACUCGACCUUGCUAUUGAGAUCAUCCAAAACACUGCAACCCAUCUGCAAUCAGAAUCAUUAGCAAUCCCAAUUCAAUCCAUUUUCUGCAGUGUGAGGGGCCGCGCCGCACAAGGAAUUACCGGCUGUAUCCUCACGUUGCCCAGCAGGGCCGAGCCUGCAUGCUGCCAGUCUGUAAUUACCCGCCAGUGGCCCGAACUAAUCUGGAUCGCGCCGCGUAAUGCUUUCGUGAGCUAGCUGCAAUGAGAGGCUCUAAGAACUGUGUGUGUGUGUGUGUGUGUGUGUGUGUGUGUGUGCACGCGCGCCUGCUUUCAUCCUCUGACGGCAGACACACACACACAGCUGUCAGAAGGCCAGAUCAGGGGGGGCUACUCCGCUCAGCUGUCUCCGUGCCCCGCCCUCAGCACCAAGCCGGCGCCAGCUGAGGGUUGGCGGGUCCCGCCGCGGAAGAGGUGCCGUGCAUUUAAAGACGUUGCUUUUAAAGGAAAAACGCAUAUGGGAAUGCAGCAAAAAUGGAGUUUGUUGACAGGGUUUGAAUUGCUGUGUGUGUAUUUGUUUGCUUUUGGGUGACGUCCUGCCGGCCAGCUGUGUGAGCCGCUCACACCGCAGCACCCUUGUGCCGCAAAUGGAGGGUGACGUGCCGUGUGAACAAUCAACCCAUGUUUGCGCCUAUGAUACCAUUCCUCCCCCCUUUUGUCCUCGCCUCUCUCCUUGCUCUGCAGGUUGCGUGACCUUUUCAAAACUCAUCCCUCUGUUGAUCCCUUCGCACAGCUCCGUUACGCGCAGCGGUGCUGCCUGCUUGACUCGGAAAGACUGAACUGUUUUUUCAACCCUGGUUGGUCAAAUUUCCUAAAUCAAAAAAAGCCAUCCAAAAAGGUCGUUGGGUGGAGAGCAACUUUCUGAUUAAAAGCAUUGCUACACUGUUUUAUUUGAAAACUUGGUUUUUGGUAGCAGCUUGAUUUAUGUUGGAGACAUCUCACAACAUAAAGAAUCCACCCCGUUUAUGGUUUCAUGCUAUGGGUACUUAACAAGUAUAAGGCGUGAGACUGUAAGACCAAAUUAAAUGUGCGGAUCAUACAGAUGGUCAUUUUAAACCGCCUGUAAUUAGCUCAGUUGGAUCAACAACAAGCAUGGCGUUAACUAAGUCACAGCAAAACACAGAAUUCCUUCUGCCAGACUAAUGGGUAAUGUUGCUGUUAACACCUACAGCCUGCCAGCUCAUCUCAGUGUUAUCACCUUCCCAGAUAGACCUGUGAAGUAGAACUCAAGUGGGAGUCAUGAAAAUGCAUUAUUAUGCAUCUCACUGCGUGUGGUGUGUGUUCGACUUGGAUCGGCUUGUAAGUGCCCCAGCCAUGAAGCCAUUACAUUUCGAGUUUAUAUUGAAUAUAUUCUCAAAGUUGUUAUCUCCCUGCCUGUCACUUAUAGUCGUAUUACGACGGCUGUAAUACUUCGUCGGUUGUAUUCGAGAAUGAAGCAACACCUCUCGCACUUGUCGAUUGGCUUUUCGUGUUCAUUGAUUGAUUCUUUAGUAAAGAAAAUGGUUGAAAUAAAAGCCAGUCAACACCUGGCUGUGCAGAGCGUUGUGUAAUGGCGGGAGGUGAGAUCAGUAUCGACCUUUCCUGAUGAACAUAGUGUUCCAUAUAGAAGCACAACCGUGAUGACAAAGAAGGAUCCAGAGAAUCGGCCUGCAGCCUCAGUGGGAGCGAUGCGAGGAUGUUGGCUCAGCGUUGUUCCUCUGGCAGCCGAGCCAUUCAGGCGCAUAGUAGAAACAGAUAAUCUAUAUAUUUCCUGUACUUUCAGCGUGGAAAGUCCUCGCCGGGAGAUUGAGUGCCCCGAGCCAUUUCGUUUUCUGCUGUGUCGGAGCCUCUGCUAGCAAAGUCCUUCUCUUUCUUCUAACAUAGUCCUUCUGUUUCUUCUAGCAUGGUCCUUCUUUCUUCUAGCCUGGUCCUUCUUUCUUCUAGCAUAGUCCUUCUGUU